AGGAACUGUAGACACGGUCCAGACUUCCUACGGGUAGGUCAGCAGUGGGGUAAUUAUUGGACUAAUGGGCGAAAGCCUUGAUCCAGCCAUGCCGCGUGUGUUGUAAGUAAGGUCUUCGGAUUGUAAAGCACUUUAAGUUGGGAGGAAGGGCAGUAAGUUAAUACCUUGCUGUUUUGACGUUACCGACAGUAAUAAGGCACCGGGCUAACUUCGGUAGCCAGCCAGGCCGCGGUAAUACCGAAGGGUGCAAGCGUUGGCUCCGGAAUCACUGGGCGUUAAAGCGCACGUAGCGGCCUUUGUAAGUUGGAUGUGAAAGCCCGUUGGGCUCAACCCAGGAAGUUUGCAUCCAAAACUGCAUGGGCUUUGAGUACCGGAGGAGUCGUGGGAGCAAGGCACGACAGGGGGAUUAGGAUNGUANCUGAUACACAGCNCGCGCGAUGUGGAGCAGCACANAGGAUG
rnacentral:rRNA from 1 species